rnacentral:misc_RNA from 1 species
UUCUGUGGAAGGCGUGGAAGAG